GCCUGGCUGGCUAAGUUGGUAGAGCAUGAGACUCUUGAUCUCAGGGUUGUAAGUUCAAGCAUCACACUGGGUA
rnacentral:tRNA from 1 species